AGGAAGACCCUUCCAGCGUCUUCCAUUUUGUUCCAUCGCCUUUCUGCUUCUCUUCCUCUCUCUUUCUCUCCCUCUCUUGCCUCAAAUCCAAUCCGAUCAUCUAAAAACGUACUCUCUCUAUUUCUCUCCGCCGUUUUCCAGGAACCAAUCAUGCGUUUCAGGAAACGUUGUUGUUCAAAUUUUAGGGUUUUUGUAUAGAAGCUUGCAAGCCCUCUCGAACCAGAAGUACUGGGAUGAGAAUUAGAGUGAUUUGAAAUCGGAGAACAAGGAAUUGCAGGAGGGUAGUGAUAAUGAUAAUGGUGGUGUUCUGGUUUUUCAUUCCUUCUCAUCACUUCUACAAGAGUCUGAUUAUAUAGGAUUAGCAAGCGCCAUGACGUCGAGAACUUUGAGGAAACGGCUUCAUCAGGAGGAAAAAGAUAAGAGAAUUUGGAGACGGCGGAGCCGGAUGAUCUUAAUGUGCCUCUAUGUGGGAAUUAUUCAGAUAGGCAUACAGAGGAGUGAUGUCAUUGAAAUAGAAACACCGUGCCAAGGGGAAGGGAGAAUUGGCACUAGAUGUGAUUGGAUACUUAAUGACUAUGCCAUCAGUGAAGUCAUUGGAAGAGUGACAAGGCCAAAGGAUUGUGAGAUGUUAGUUCCAUGACAAAAUUGGUUUCGAAGAAUUUUAGUGUGCGAUCUUGAAGCAUGCUCAAUGGCCUUAAAGGUAAUCAGCCUGUUGAAUCUCGCUUGCUUGCACAGUUGAUCACCUACUUUGUUUCAUAUGGAGGUACAUUCCUGUAACAAUCAGUAGUUUAUUUAAAAAAUUAUAAUUUAUUGCUUUUUCCAUAUAUGUUUGCCGCUUAAAUUAAGUUUUUGCUAACCCUUCUCUUCCGAGGAACUGGUUAUUACUGACGUACAUCUUCAAUGUCUGCUUUUCACCUGGUCUUAAUACAUGAUUAACUACUUCCUUACCCAUAAAUGGAUUUAGUUGGACAUCCAAAGGUAUUAUCAAAGAUGUUGCAACCAAAAUUGUUAAAUCUAUCUAUCCAACAUUCUUAUUAUUAGUUCGAUAGGUUAAACAAUUGUACAAUUCAUAUUAUCUUCUUCUCCUCAAUCAAAGGAUACUGGCGAAAUAUAUCUAUGAUUAAAACAUGUAGAUUCAUACUUUUGGAUGUCCAUCUUAAGUCCUUAAAUGAAUAACUAGGUAGUUUACAAUCUAUUUACAACAGGUGAAAAGAAGAAACUGUUUGUUUAUAUAUUGGUAACAAUCAGUUCAUCUGAAGAGAAAACAUGGACAUGAUGAUGCUGCUAAAAAUCAAACCACAAACAACUCACGGAUUCAUAUCUCUGUAUACCACAAAGACACUAAAUAAGGCAUAUAUGAUCCAUCUCUGAACAUCAUUUGUUGCUAUUUUUACAAUUUAAAAAAAAAAUAUGAUUCACUUGCAUCGCUUUCUACAACAUGUUUCACAUUUUCAGUUCAUUGUAAAUAGUGCUACUUACUUUGGUUACUUUUCUGUUACAUUUAUAUCCCUCUACAUUUUUUUCUGCGUUGAAACACCUUUAAACCAAUGUUGAACAAUGAUGGCUCCUCUAAAACCUAACUCCUUACGUUGCCUGACCAAGAUUUUGCCCUAAUUUCCUAAUGAUAAUUUUCUUUUUUUCGUUAUUUCUCGUUUUUAACCGAUAGGUCUUUCUAUGAACUUGCUGUGUACAAAUUUUUUUUUUUCCUUCUCUACACACUAUGGAUUUCUCUCAUUUAAUUACAGUAUCAUGUGAUUACAACUUUCCUGUAGUUUUUAAAAUCUCUGACAAUAAAUUUAUGUCACUAUUGACAUUCUACAUCUCUCUCGCUUCCAAAAAUAACAAGGUAUGUUACCACUCCUCAUUAUGUGCAUAUCUGUGAUGUCGAUAAUUUUAACAAACAUCCAUUAUGUCACCUGUAUCUAGCUAAAAAAUGAACAUACUUUAACCAGCUCAUUUCCACGUUCAUUCGUUUAAUUAAAAUGUUGUUUCAUAACAGGUUUGACCCCAAUUUUUUCAUUGUGUUAUAACAAUGUGAUUCUAGCUUGCACAAACUACGAGGAAGAAGCUAAUGGACGCAAAAGAGGCAGCAAAGCUGCCAGCGAAAAAGGAAUAAAAAAAGGAAAGAAGGAGAAUAGAAAAAUAGGAAAGAGAGAAACACUGACGGAAAGAAGAAAAAGGAAAUAUAAGAGGACAGAGGCGCGGGAGAAAAGCAGCUUAGCUGCCUUGCGGAGAGAGAAGCACAAGGCAGAGGGGAAUAAAGACUAGCAGAAGUCAAGGGCAGAGAGAGAGGCCGGGAAGGCAGAGCAGAAAAAGAAAACAGAAAAAAAAAAAAGAAAUAGGAGAGAGCAGACGUGAGGGCAGACUGACAGAAGAAAGAAGACAGGCGUGACGGGAAAAGCAAGAAAAUAGAGGGAGAAGAGAGAGCAGACGGCAGAGACCACAGAAAACUGUGCGGGGAAA